GUGCUUGCUUCUCCCAGCUUGCCACCUCCAUCUGGGUCAGGAGGAGCAAUCGGAAGCAGAAGCUCCAAGAGAAAGGUGGGAAUGUUGGUCAACCCAGGUGAAAAAAAGCAACAAGGAGGGUUGCUAGGAGAAAUGAAUGAAAUGAUGCAAGUAAGGUAGAAAGCAGAGUGCUUUUUACAAGCCAAGAAGUGGCCCCCCACAGAUACCAAGCUCUGGACCUCCUGGUGCCUUGAUUUUGGACUUCCCAGCCUUUUUCAGACCUGUGAGAAAGGUCCGCCGCAUCUUGGAAGGAAACUUCAAAGCUCAUUUAAAGUCAGCCCCUCACAUAGCCCUGCUGGUCUAACUUUCUUCUGAAUGUGAUUUCAGAAGUAAAACCAGGCCAGGGGCUGGGACUCAGGUGAGUCUCACUGACCGUGACCUCUGGAGAGUCAACUGAAAUGGAGAGACAAAUACCAAGGAGAUAUCAGGAAGAAUAUUGUCCCCGGUAAAUACCAAGUCACAUCAGGAAGAAUACUGUGGAGAGAGAGGUAAAGAAUCAGGAUGGAAACAGAAAAUAGGCCGAACAAUGGCCAAGCGUCAAAAUCCUACGUCAGGACAGUGCUAGGACUGCUUUUUUCUAUAUCAGACACGUGGGCUCCUGCUGUGUCUUCCUGGAAAGCAGAGGCCAAGGAUGGAGCAGACCAAGAGGAUGCCAGGAAAAAUCACAAAGAAGCCCAGAAAGCACAGCUGGAAGCCAAGAACCCUGUUUUUGGUUUGUGUGGGUGGAAGGUGAGGGACAACAUAUAGUGACCAACAGGAUUCUUCAUUUGAAAGAGAAUGGAGUACAUCAGACCUGUGUAUUUAGGUGAAGUAUGAUAAACAUCAUCAUACUUCAAAGAUUAUGAACAUCAAAGAUUAUGGAAAGGAACAUGACUGCUUAGUUUAUUCCAUUACCAGUGAUCUGCUUGUUUGUUCAUUUGCUUACCCAUCCAUUCAUUUAUUC
rnacentral:lncRNA from 1 species